rnacentral:rRNA from 1 species
CGGCGAGUGAAGCGGCAACAGCUCAAAUUUGAAAUCUGGCUCUCGGGCCCGAGUUGUAAUUUGUAGAGGAUACUUUUGAUGCGGUGCCUUCCGAGUUCCCUGGAACGGGACGCCAUAGAGGGUGAGAGCCCCGUCUGGUUGGAUGCCAAAUCUCUGUAAAGUUCCUUCGACGAGUCGAGUAGUUUGGGAAUGCUGCUCUAAAUGGGAGGUAUAUGUCUUCUAAAGCUAAAUAUUGGCCAGAGACCGAUAGCGCACAAGUAGAGUGAUCGAAAGAUGAAAAGCACUUUGAAAAGAGAGUUAAAAAGUACGUGAAAUUGUUGAAAGGGAAGCGUUUAUGACCAGACUUGGACUUGGUUAAUCAUCUGGGGUUCUCCCCAGUGCACUUUUCCAGUUCAGGCCAGCAUCAGUUUUCGCCGGGGGAUAAAGGCAGCGGGAAUGUGGCUCUCUUCGGGGAGUGUUAUAGCCCGUUGUGUAAUACCCUGGUGGGGACUGAGGUUCGCGCAAGGAUGCUGGCGUAAUGGUCAUCAACGACCCGUCUUGAAACACGGACCAAGGAGUCGUCUUCGUAUGCGAGUGUUCGGGUGUCAAACCCCUACGCGUAAUGAAAGUGAACGCAGGUGAGAGCUUCGGCGCAUCAUCGACCGAUCCUGAUGUUCUCGGAUGGAUUUGAGUAAGAGCAUACGGGGCCGGACCCGAAAGAAGGUGAACUAUGCCUGUAUAGGGUGAAGCCAGAGGAAACUCUGGUGGAGGCUCGCAGCGGUUCUGACGUGCAAAUCGAUCGUCAAAUAUGGGCAUGGGGGCGAAAG